rnacentral:misc_RNA from 2 species
AACGCACCUUGCGCUCCUCGGUGUUCCGAGGAGCAUGCCUGUUUGAGCGUCAGUAAAUUCUCAACUCCUCUCGAUUGACUUCGAGUGGAGCUUGGAUAGUGGGGGCUGCCGGAGACCUGAAUAUUCGUGUUCGGGACUCGGGCUCCUCUGAAAUGUAUUGGCUUGCGGUCUGUUUUCGACUUUGCAUGACAAGGCUUUUGGCGUGAUAAUGAUCGCCGCUCGCCGAAGUGCAUGAAUGAAACCGUGCCGUGCCUCUAAUCCGUCGAUGCCUCUAUGGGGCGUCUUCUUUACGCAUUUGACCUCAAAUCAGGUAGGACUACCCGCUGAACUUAA